CAUCCUCCAAGGCUAAAUACUCCUGACUGACCGAUAGUGAACCAGUACCGUGAGGGAAAGGCGAAAAGAACCCCGGCGAGGGGAGUGAAAAAGAACCUGAAACCGUGUACGUACAAGCAGUGGGAGCACAGGUUUACCUGUGUGACUGCGUACCUUUUGUAUAAUGGGUCAGCGACUUAUAUUCUGUAGCAAGGUUAACCG
rnacentral:rRNA from 17 species